UACAGACCCUGUUUAACUGGGGUCUGGGAUGCGAUUGGUGGGAUGGUGUUUCCCCAGUGCCCCCGCGCCCCGCCCCAGCCUGAGGGACGGGGCAUGAUGGGGCCACGGGGUCACCCCUGGGGGGAAGGCAUGGGAGUUUCGUCUGAACUAUGUACAAGUUGUCACUCUUUGUGAUGUGUCGCGUUCUGCCUAGGUGGUUAGGGGAUGCGGGUGCGCAUCUUGAUGGGUGUGCCAGUUGAGUUGGGGGGCCAUUAUUUUGGGGACUGACCCUGUCGGAAUCAGUCAAUUUGGUGAUAUGUUUGGGUUCUGCAGGUA